rnacentral:lncRNA from 13 species
AUGAAUGGAGUUACCUUUUGCCUGGUUGGAAUUCCACCUCGCUCUGGAAACGAAGCUAAAGGGCGGAAUGAUGGCGCCCUGUCAUCCAAUGAGAACACUCGGUCGCUGUCGUCGGGCGAGGUUGAGGGCGUGGCGUGGCAGGGCCCUCGUACGGUGCUCCUGCAGAAGAACUCCCAGGGCUUCGGCUUCACGCUGCGCCACUUCAUUGUGUACCCGCCAGAGUCCUCCCUCCACAAUAACCUCAAGGUAACAAUGGUUCAUAGCCCCCACGAUGGAAUGCAUUACGUUCAUUUGACAGAUUUCCCUACCAAGCUAAUGCUGAUCUGCUAACCUCCAGUCGUGUAGAGGUUAAUUGUGUCUCAUGACCAAAUUAAGAGGGGUCGUGAAGUCACAGAAUUACAGGUGUGUGUGUGUGUGUUACCCUAACCGUGUUCACACUUAUGGAGGUGUCCUGACCAAUGGUCACCAACCAGUGGAAGAAAAGCCCACACAUCCUGUAGCUCCCUAGGACCAGGGUUGGGGACCACUGACCUACAGGGAGGGGAGAGAAGAGAGGAACAGAGAAGUAAAUAAAAGAGGCAAAUGGGGUAAAAGAGGAAAGGAGGAGAAGAGAGAGAG